rnacentral:misc_RNA from 1 species
UGCGAGUUGAACAAAAUCAUCUUCUCAAGGCAGACAAAAUCCAAUAUAAUCAAACUGACAAAGCACAACACUACUAUAAAAUUCUAAAUUGGGUAAGAAAAGGGUAACUUUAUUAGAACUGUCAUUGCUUUAAAUAAAGUAAAAAAGGAAGCACAACAACUCACAAGUUAUCGUAGUUUCAUCACUGUCGCUUAGUAGCAUUGGACAGCCAGCACUUAAAACGAAGCUCUCAUUAAUACAAAGAUGGCACAACCCGUGCAAUAAACUAGCUACGAAAACUGAUGUGCCUAAUCACACCCCUGACUUGCGUAGUUCAGCAGCUCCAUGAGCAAAAUGGCAUCUUUGACCAAAGGUGCAAGACCCUUUGGUAAAGUUUUCACAUAACUUUGUUUUAUAGUUGCUCCCUGGGUGAGCAUGGCCCCCGGAUGCUCCUGUAGCUUUUGCAGGGGCAUUUGCAGAACCAACACUGGCAAUUAGCUCUGAAACCAUGGCGCUAGCUUGCUUAAUCUGUUCAAAUGAUCC